AGGAGGAGGAGGAGGGACCGGCCGCUCCCCGCCCCGGCCGCGGGCGGGAAGGCGGCGCGGCCGCCGCAGCCCCCACAGCCCAGCCCGGCCGGCUGGCGCUCCGCCUCCCCCUGCAGCGGCGGGAGGGCCCGGCCUGCCGCGGGUGGGGUGCGGGGGGCGCUCUCCUACCUCCCCGGCGCGGCCUCCGUCCCGCACACCCGCACCCACGCGUGUCGUGUUCGCCCGGGGCAGGCAGCUGCACGCGCGGGAGCUGCCGGAGCGUUGCACCCUCCUCCCGCACCCACCUCCCUCCCUCCCGCACCCUCCCACCCGGGACGGCAGUUCCCUGCGGAACACCCCACGCUGACCGGCCGUGUCUCUCGGGGUGCCCCGGCGAGAGCAAGGGGACGGUCCCCAGGCUCCCCACGCACCCCUGCUCUCACCGGCUUCGCUUCCCUCCCGGCGCGGCUCGUCCCGCCCCUCGGGAACAGCCGGGCAAGGCCACAAGCACCGGCUGGGCGAAGGUUUGUGCUGCAAGUCCGUAAGAAGAACCACCUGUGUGUUGAUGUGUCUAAGGAAGUUCUGCCAGAUUUGGAGCCCUGAUUUUCUGCAUGGAAUUUUUUCUUUUAAAAGUUCUUUUCCCUUUGGUCUUUUUUCAGAAUGGCAGGAAGAUGUGCCAGGGGAGGGUUAUGUUGGAUGUUAGGAAAGGGUUCUUCACCCAGAGGGUGGUGGAGCACUGGACCAGGCUCCCCAGGGAGGCAUCACGGCACCAGCCUGACAGUAUUCAAGAAGCACUUGGACAAGGCCCUCAGAGACAUGGUGUGAAUUUGGGGUGUCCUGUGCAGGGACAGGAGUUGGACUUGAUGAUCCUUGUGGGUCCCUUCCAACUCAGGGCAUUCUAUUAUUUUUUCCCAGGCAAAAAUGAACCUGCACCUUUUUGAGCGCUGUUGCAGCGGGAGCCCAAGAACACUAUGACUUGCAGGAGCAUCAGUCAAAGCUGGUUAUAGCUGGACUGCCCUGCCUUGGCAAGUGCCUGCUCCGAUUCGUGCUGUCCUUGCAACAAAUUGACCCGUGAGUGCUCUUUGUGCAGUUUUUUACUUGUUUCAUCGAGGGUUAAUUAGUGUUUGUAUAGUGACACAGUUCUCUGACACUCCACGGACACAGUUGAGGGACUGAAUUCUGGCUGUGCUGUAGUUUCUUAAUUUCUGUGUUAUGGUUACUGUGAUGCAUAUCCUCGAUGUAAAAAAAGCAUUUCUGACUGAUUUGCUACUUUUGACUGCCAGAUUUCAGUCUGGGUUUAAGGAAGGAGAGAAGAAGAAGAAAUAUCAAUACUAAGCUCUAUUACUUGAAGAAUUAUUUCAAACCCCCUCUUGACCACCUAAGACUCUUCCACAUGCCAUUAAAUUCAGCAGAAAAAAGUCUCAUGGAGUCUCAACCUUUUGUGCUUGGAGAGCACCACCCCACAUUAUGGCUCCUUGCUCUUCCUACUGGCUUAACCCCUCUGUGAGUCACGCAGCUCCUUGUUCCAGCGUACCCAGCACUGCAGGCACCUACCGGGCUUUGUCAAACACAAGCACAGGUCCCAGCCCAAGGUGCUUGUUUUCACUUAAAUUGUGCAUUUCACAACUAGCUUGUAAAGCACUUUGAAGGUAUGACACUAAGUAUUAUUAAUGCUAAAUGGUAUUAUUGGACAGGUGUAAUGAGAGCAAUUAAAUAGUAAUACCAAUAAAAAACAGUUGCGGGACACAAAGGUAGAAUUAAGUCAUAUAUGCCUACUUUAUAUCCACAUCUUCCGGCUGUUGAUUACUCAGUACAGCCUGACACUCUGAAAAUACACUUCCAUCUCUCUUAUUAUACACAGCCUUCCAGCUAGGAACUGCUAAAGCCCUGUGCUCAGGCUAAUGCUUUGACAGGUAUAUGGGUGCUGCCAGCAAGGCUGGCAAGUGGCUGCCAUGGAUCGGUCUUUGUGGAAGGUGAGCAGCUGGAAGCUGUGUGAUCAGAGCUCUCACCUACUGCCCACAGGUGUCCGAAAUGAGCUGUCUGGACAGAUGGGCGGGGUACUGGGGAAAAGACCUGCAAAGCAGCACUACAGGCUAAAACCACAGUGGUGAAGGUAACUGUGGUGGUGAUGAGAAGCCCUCACAAUUCCUGACGAGUGAAUGAUCAGUUCAGCGGUGUGUCUUGCCCCAACCUUCCAACACCACCCUGAACAGCAAACUCACCAAGCUGGAUGCUACAGGAUGACUCUUGUGCAAGGCAUCCAGGUACCUCGCACUUGGAGGUCCCAUGUGGAUGAAUGGCAUGAGCUUCAUGGUAGGACAUCCCUCCUAUAAUGCAGAAUUUGCACGACUAGGUUCCAGCAACGGAGGGAGAUCAAAUUCCCCAAGUCCACUGGAUAAACUGUUAACUCUGAAGGAUAGUGAUGGCUGUGUAAACUAAGUUUGUUUGAAUACUCCAAGUCAUGUUUGCUCUGUCAUCUGCCAGAACAAACCUUUGGCCUGGUGAAACUCCUCUUUCCCCUGUGUGCAACCCCCUGUGCCAUGCUGGCAUGGUGCGUGCACUGGGGCUGGAGCUGGGAGCCAGAUGAAGAUUAGCCCAGAAGAAUACUUUGUUUUCAGCUGGAUUGCUCUCAGGAUUUGACUAUGAUAUGGACACACAAAGAGGUAUGUCAGCACAACUGAAGGGGCAGCAGGAUCCAGCCUGGAGAUGAGAAUGCACAGCACAAACUGGAGCUGGGAACAGGAUGAUCAGCAAGAGAACAAGGGACCAGCACCAUGCCAGAAACCUCAGCCUCUGCCCAGCUGCUCUCUGCUCACCCCAUCCCUCACAGGAGAGAGAAGGGCUGGGAAAAGGGGAAGAAGUGGUGAGAGUAGAAACUCACCUUUGGACUUUCCUACAUUCUAGCCUGCUGGCGCAGCAACGCUGAAGAAAUAAGGAUUUAAUUCUGCAGACAUCGUGUUUGGUGGCAGCGCUUUGAUGGAGCGGUUGGGUUACACUCCCUCUGUUGUGCUGGUGCAGCUCUUUGUGCCGUUGUGUUGUCAAAGAGACCAGGAGACUCCUUAAAAAAAGCAGCACCCUCCCCACCUCAGUUAUUUUUACCCUGGCUCAGCUCCCAGGCACAAUUCACCUCAUCUCCACCAAGGUGCAACUGGAGGAAGAGCCUUGGAGUGGGCAAGCGUAGCCAGAAGCAGCGAAAAGGGGUCUGCCUAAAUCCACAGUGCCCAUCAAAAAAUGGCCUCAGGGAGAGUUUCUCCUCAGCAAUCAUGUGCAACUUGUUUCUCAGAAGUAGAGAGAUCAAAAAAGAGGAAAGAAAGGUUGAAUCUGUGUAGGCACGUGCAGCAUUUGCAUACUAUUUUCCUCUGCAAAGCAUAAAAGGAAAUUUGACUGUAAUCACAUUAGAAAUCCUCCCUUUUCCCCUCCCAUUUAAUCUAAACAUUUAUGUAUUACACUGUCCCCAGCUUAGGCAUGGAUGCUGCCUUUAACACCUGAUUGUUCCUGCUGAAGUCAGUGGAAACACUUAGAUGGUUAAAGCUGCCUGUGCUUAAAUGCUUUGUUAGGUCACAAGUUAAUUUAAGGACAGAGAAGCACAGCUCCAAACGAGAAAAAUAGGUUAGUAAUACUGAAGUCACAGCAAAUCUGGAGGAAAUCUCCUGGAAUAGGUUCAUAAUUAGUAAACGUACAUUUCUCAAAGUAAAUAUCCUCACCUUUUAUUCAGUUUCCUUUUUCUGUGAUUUUGUCUGGGGACUACGGUUCCUGGCUAAAGAUAGGACAAACUGAAGACUUUUACAAAUUAGUGCCUGAACUAAUAACUAACUAACUAAACUCCUUAUUGCAGCAUGCAGGAGCCUGCACUGUGCACUUAUAUCUUCCUACACAGCAUUGCGUGAGUGAGGUGAUUCAAGGGGGUAGCUGUCUUAAGGUAACCAACGCUGAACAUGCGGUUUGGUGUGAACUCCCAGAUUUCUGCAGAGCAGAGGCACCAGACUCCGCGCAUACAGAGGCACAGCCCGGGACAGGUACCUGCAAUCUGAACUGAGCAGGGCUCAUUUUGCUGCAUUUAUAAUGCAGGCGCCGUGCAUGAAAAAACAUUUCCAGUCUAUGUUUUCCCACCUCCCGAAGUGCACCGGCUCCUUGGUUACAGGUGAGGUGGGUUUGUUACGCAAAGAAACAUAACUUCAGGUUCUACCCUGAAAAUUAAAAUUCAAAGCUGAACAUCCCCAGCCGUCGAUACCAGCUGAGUGGAGUUUCUUGGAUCACAGGUUUUUACUGAGGUACCUUCGACCUGUCCACGUUCUGCUUCAGGUACUUAAGUGCCUUUUUGGAUCCUACUUGAAGCUUUGCAUUCCUGAGGGGCUUAGUGGGCUUAGGAGACUGUUUUAGGAGUCUGUUAGACUCUCGACAAGAUCGGGUCAAGGUCUUAACAGACCUUUAGGAAUCUGGAAGACCUUGACCCGAUCUUAUCAGUAAACUCAGGCAAGGUUUUGGGCUCAGAAUCCCCUUAUCUUAAACCCAAAAGUUUAUCUACGUUUUUCACUUAAUUAAAAAAUAUUACCUCUUCUAUCCUUAGACUGUUGCUGCUGCAGCACUUGUACUGCAGUGUAUUUGAAAGAGCACUGUAACGAGCCUGCAGUCAAGACCAGCCCGGUCCUAUCAGCUUUACCCUCAUGCUCCAAAGCUGGCUGGUGCCUCCCAAGCACGCUGCCCCCCACCCGCAGUUCGGCAUCUCAGUUUUGGCUCUGUUUUUGAGAAGUUGGGCGAGAGAAACCUGCCAAGAAACACUGUAUUCAACCGACCAUAGCAGAAGCUGGAGAAACACACCGUAGUGGUCAAAUGCCAGGUCUGGAUUCAGGAACCUGCAGGAUGUACGAGGAAAUAACAGCGGCUGGGCAAGCAGUUUCUUUGCAAAAUAGCUCCACCAGGCCAGCGGCAAACUCCAGGUGCUUGUAAAACAAAAUUGGGCAGCAGAAGGCACCCAAGGGCUUAUGCAUUUUUUGUCUGAUGGCCUCUCACCCCCGAAGCCCUUUCUCUGAGGCUCAGACAAGAUCUGCAGUAGUUUCACUUUGAGCAGUGACUGUUUUCAUCUCGACAGCCUUGGACUGCAGAACCAACCUCAGCACUUGCCUCCCACUCAUGCUAUCCUGGCCACCCUUGUCACACCUCCGUCUUUGGGGAGCAGCACCCUUGCACAGCUCUGAGGCAGCAGCGGUUUGGUUUCCCUCUGCUUCCACUGCAGCACCUCCAUGUCUUGGGUGGCUACAGCCCAUUUUCAACCAUGAUUCAAUGGAGAACAAAAAAGCUCUCGAGGGUAGGAAGUGGGGCUAAGGCUUCUUUGGAAGCAGGGUUUAGUAAUCCAAAUCACCACCUUUAAAAAUCAGUGCCCUUGGGCUGCAGCCAGCCCUCAGCUCUGUCAACAUCUUUACUGCCAACUUCACUAACAGUCACACAAAUGUAAAUCUAGUGUGAGAAGAGGAUUAAGCCCAUUCUGGUUUUAUGGCCUAUGAAAUGUCUAUUGCCCUGCUGCCGCUGUGCAGCGAUACGUAACACAGAAAAGGGGAAUUCAGGCUGCUAUUGCAUCUUCAGAAAUUUAAAGGAAAAAAUGUCAUUCCAGAAACUUUACCAGCCAGUGAAGUGUAUAUGCAUACAAGGCUUCUUCUAAGUCAGAAGCUUAAAGCCUGUACCUUGCCAGAUGUUGGUUGAAGUACAUCAAUUUUUCCCUGCGAAAUAAGAUUAGCAACAGCAAUUUUCCAUGCGUUCAAGUUCAGGAUUUUGUCGGCAAGGGGAUUAGAGCUCAGGCGAACAUGAGCCUGCCCGGGUACUGCCCUACUCCAUGUACUGCUCUCACUUGGGAUGAGACCUGUGCAGAGGGCUAUUUAGGAAUCCCACUAAAAUGAUUAUUUCUUUGCUGAUGACUCAGUUGGCUGAGAUUUGCAAGAAGGACUGAGGGAAUUAGAUUUGUGGUUUCUAAAAAUUUUGGUUCAGUGUGGGUUCCUGAUUCCCUUAGACUGAUGUUCUCAUGCAAAAGACUAGAAAUGGAUUUUUUGCUAUAAAAUUUACAAUUUUAUUUCAGCUCUUGGGCUGGGAAUAUAGUUUGCUUUCAGGGUUCUAUAAUCUUAGAGUAUGGCUGAGAUCUCUCAGCAGGAUCGCAAUACCACUAAUUGUUAUGAUUAUUAACAGUGUAACUCCACUGAGCCACCAGCAGAAAAACAGCUGAGCUGAGUAAGUAUUUCAAUUAAAGAUGCAGAAUUAUGCAUAUUUAUGCACAAUCCUGGAAAGCAGACGAUAUUUAAAAUGUACUUCAGGGCAACAGAUACAAUUAACUUUUUGUUACCUUUAUUAUUUUCCCAUUUAUCCUGGUCUCUAGCUUGAAAGUCUCAUUCAGUCCUUACCUGGGUAAAGUUGCCGUUGCCUUUGGUGUAAGAUUUUCUAGGCGACUGUGACUUUUUUUGUUCACGGGGGUAGGAGAGGUCUAUAAUGAGAUAUUGUACUGACCCUCGAAGGCACAACUGACAGCGUCUGCCAACAUGGGAAUCCAUCUCCCUGGCAGAUGCUCGCAUACACUCCACCUCUCUGCUUCAUCUUCCAGUCCUGCCGAUGAAAACCUCUUGCAGAUCAGAAAGAAAAGUGGCACGCAUGGAAGACAGACUGCAGUGACCUCUUGUUUUGAUAUUUAGUGCUGUUUGUUUUGGCAUUGUGGAUAUAUUUAGUAAACUGUCAUCUGUUAUAAUUUAUGUGGGGACAGCUCCCAUGUUUUGAGAAACGUUUGCUGUCGGGCAUCGCUCAGAGUCCUUAAAUUGCUCUUUCAUUUACACACUGGUCUAUUUUAAAAGCAGCAUUAGGGGACACGUCCUCUCCCUUAAACCCACCAUGAGGAUUCUGAGCUGUGCCAAACACUUGUGUAUGGCAGAUUUUUAACCAAUUCCUCUUCUGAGCAAAUGAUUUGGUAUUUAUUUGUAAAUAGUUUUCCUGAAACCAAGGGAAAUGCAUGCUAAAUAAGACACUGUCGUGUUUUCUGACUGCAUGACAGACUGUCCCCUGAAGCGUGGCCCCAGCCCCUGGGCUGUAUCGCCCUCCCUGCGACAAGCCAGGAUAUUUUUGGCCAUCGAGGCCAUGGUGCCGGGCACUGGGGACCUUCUGCUCCGCGGGAGCACGUGUACCACCACUGUGUCAUAUGUGGGCAGCCACCAGCCACGCGUUGGUAGUACCGGUCACGGGUUUGCUUGCUCAUCCGCUGCCGGGGGCUGACCGCAGCGCAACACCUUGCUUGCAGUUUGCGGGAGGUAAAACCAAACACAUUAUUUUGCGUUUAGCCCAAACACCGAGCUGUCGGCAAUCAGCAGUCACUCUCACAUCUCAAAGAAUGGGAAGAAAAACAACAAAAAAAGCCUGUACUGGCACAAAGCUGAGGUUAAAUCAGUGGGAUCAGUGCAGCGCUGCUGUCAUCCUGCCCCAGCCCUGCAGGGCUCCGCAGGUGGGACCCACAACUCCCGUUCUCCCCACACCUCUCCAUGGCCUUGCAACCUGCCAUCCCCACCCAGAGGAUGUUGCACAGCUGUCUGGCCAGGCUGAGCUUGCCCACCGCGCUGGCUGCCAGCCCCAGAGAGGAGCCUGGCUUGGAGGCAGCCUGUCACACCUCCUGCAGCCAGCUUUGGGCUUUCUUGGUCUCAGACAGCAUCCAUAACCCCUUUCCCCUCUGCUGAUCAGGGUCUCAUUAUCACUCCUAAAUUGCCCCUGACAUGGGCUUGUCCUGCAGCAAAACCCAAAUCUCUUACUCAGAUACACACUACGAAGACUGGGGCUUGGUGUGCAGCGGGGAGCUGAGCUGCCCCCUCCAGCUUUGGGCACCAGAGGAAGUUGCUGGACAUCUCCAAGCUGCCACACAGUGAAUCCCUGGCCUUUAUUCUGCAGAAAUAAGUUUGGCGCUUUAUUGGGGCACUAACCUGAAACCUGGCAAAGCUGCACACAGACAAAGCAAAGAUGCAACUGCUGGAAGAGGACAAAAAGUAAUCCCUGCCAGCACUGAGUUGCACUUGCUCGGCACAGAGCAAAGUGGGCCACAUGGAAAUAGCGAUGCACAUCACACAGGUAAUCAUGCCUGCAUUUGAUUGCCGUGUAAUAUUCUCUUCUAGUCUCAAAUACCAGAUCUAGAGACUGAAAACCAGUUCCCAGCAUUACCUCUUUGGCCAGAACAAUAUCAGUAUUUCAGACUCACCAUAUAUGCUUAUGUAUUUAUUUUCUCUUUUUUAACACCCAGACAAGGCACACUGGUACCCACCUUAGGGCUUAUGAACAGCAGCAGACAGCCGCGCAGCAGCACUGCCCUCUGCCAGGCGUGAGCACGGAGGGUGGUAAAGCUCUGGCCGUCUUACA